GUCCACGCUGUAAACGAUGGGCACUAGGUGUCGCGGGUAUUGACCCCUGCGGUGCCGCAGCUAACGCAUUAAGUGCCCCGCCUGGGGACUACGGCCGCAAGGUUAAAACUCAAAGGAAUUGACGGGGCCCGCACAAGCGGUGGAGCAUGUGGUUCAAUUCGACGCAACGCGAAGAACCUUACCCGGGCUAGACAACAGAGGACAGCCCUAGAAAUAGGGUCUUCCCUUCGGGGACCUCUGGUUCAGGUGCUGCAUGGCUGUCGU
rnacentral:rRNA from 1 species